ACAUGACCAGUGAACACGUCACAUAAAGCUACCGAGGAGGAGUUUUCUCCUCGGCCCCACCGACACCCGGCCCUUNGGCCUGGUGUCGGAAUACGGCGCGGAAUGCGCCAAGGAACACUGAUUUGCUGAGGCAGACGGCUAUAUGCUAGUGCUGCUGAGGCCAACGAAAC
rnacentral:misc_RNA from 1 species